GAUGAACGCUGGCGGCGUGCCUAAUACAUGCAAGUCGAGCGAACGGACGAGAAGCUUGCUUCUCUGAUGUUAGCGGCGGACGGGUGAGUAACACGUGGAUAACCUACCUAUAAGACUGGGGUAACUUCGGGAAACCGGAGCUAAUACCGGAUAAUAUUUUGAACCGCAUGGUUCAAAAGUGAAAGACGGUCUUGCUGUCACUUAUAGAUGGAUCCGCGCUGCAUUAGCUAGUUGGUAAGGUAACGGCUUACCAAGGCAACGAUGCAUAGCCGACCUGAGAGGGUGAUCGGCCACGCUGGAACUGAGACACGGCCCAGACUCCUACGGGAGGCAGCAGUAGGGAAUCUUCCGCAAUGGGCGAAAGCCUGACGGAGCAACGCCGCGUGAGUGAUGAAGGUCUUCGGAUCGUAAAACUCUGUUAUUAGGGAAGAACAUAUGUGUAAGUAACUGUGCACAUCCUGACGGUACCUAAUCAGAAAGCCACGGCUAACUACGUG
rnacentral:rRNA from 1 species